GCCUCGUCGUUUCGAGUACAUCGUGACCUCUUGGUCCACAUCCGUCCCCUCUUCGGGUUUACAGUAAUCGCAGUCGUGAAACUGUUUUUCCAAUUGACACCAGCGUCGGGAUGUGAUGUGCCCCGCAUGGACGUUCUUUCAGUGCUUCACGUUCAGUGAGGACGUCGAAAUUUUGGGACGCAACGGUGCGUGUGUUCAUGGGGUAUUGCGUGACUUUUUUUAGACUCGCGCGGAACUUAGAGGCAGAGCUCUGUUUUGAAGAUACUCUACCACUAAGUUUUGGGGCCGCGGAGCACCUCCUGUGGUCCCUCACUACUCACUGGAGCCACUGCGGGAUGGAGAAACAUCCUCGAUCGGUGGAUGCGCACACAAAUCCCACACGACCGCUGGAUCCUCGAAGAACCUGAGGAGGAGGAGACGUCGACCAGGUCGAGUAAAUGUAUAUAUGAAUACAUAUGUAAAUAUAAGUAUAUGUAUCUGCUUAAUAAAGAUUAUC